AAGCGAGCGGCGGAUGGGUGAGUAACACGUGGGGAACCUGCCCCUAAGUCUGGGAUACCAUUUGGAAACAGGUGCUAAUACCGGAUAAUAAAGCAGAUCGCAUGAUCAGCUUUUGAAAGGCGGCGUAAGCUGUCGCUAAGGGAUGGCCCCGCGGUGCAUUAGCUAGUUGGUAAGGUAACGGCUUACCAAGGCGACGAUGCAUAGCCGAGUUGAGAGACUGAUCGGCCACAUUGGGACUGAGACACGGCCCAAACUCCUACGGGAGGCAGCAGUAGGGAAUCUUCCACAAUGGACGCAAGUCUGAUGGAGCAACGCCGCGUGAGUGAAGAAGGUUUUCGGAUCGUAAAGCUCUGUUGUUGGUGAAGAAGGAUAGAGGUAGUAACUGGCCUUUAUUUGACGGUAAUCAACCAGAAAGUCACGGCUAACUACGUGCCAGCAGCCGCGGUAAUACGUAGGUGGCAAGCGUUGUCCGGAUUUAUUGGGCGUAAAGCGAGCGCAGGCGGAAAAAUAAGUCUAAUGUGAAAGCCCUCGGCUUAACCGAGGAACUGCAUCGGAAACUGUUUUUCUUGAGUGCAGAAGAGGAGAGUGGAACUCCAUGUGUAGCGGUGGAAUGCGUAGAUAUAUGGAAGAACACCAGUGGCGAAGGCGGCUCUCUGGUCUGCAACUGACGCUGAGGCUCGAAAGCAUGGGUAGCGAACAG
rnacentral:rRNA from 1 species